UCACAUUUGAUUGUGAUUGGUGUAGUUUUAUAUUAUCCACAAACCCUUUAAAUUGGUAAUGGAAAUUUCGGCCAAUUUGGAUGAAUCGGAUGAUGAUGAUGAUGACGACGAAGACGACAGGGACGAUGAUGAUGAUGAUGAUGAUGAUUAUGAUCAACAGUAGUGCGAACGAAGGGAAUAUAUGAGAAAGAAAGCAGAGUGAGGCACAUAAAUGUAUUGUAUUGUAUUAAGUAAUAAUAAUAACAAUAUGAUUAAGUGUUGGGUGCAUCACAUAUUAGUGGGGCUUGAACCAAAAUAAGGGCACUUGAAAUUGUUAAUGAAUGUGGAGGCUUACCAAUUUCCAUUGCAACAAUAUACUUUGGAAGUUUUGAUUUUUAA